rnacentral:rRNA from 1 species
CAGUCGCCACGGUAAUACGAAGGGGGCUAGCGUUGUUCGGAAUCACUGGGCGUAAAGGGUGCGUAGGCGGAUUCUUAAGUCAGGGGUGAAAUCCCGAGGCUCAACCUCGGAACUGCCUUUGAUACUGGGGAUCUUGAGUCCGGAAGAGGUGAGUGGAACUGCGAGUGUAGAGGUGAAAUUCGUAGAUAUUCGCAAGAACACCAGUGGCGAAGGCGGCUCACUGGUCCGGAACUGACGCUGAGGCACGACAGCGUGGGGAGCAAACAGGAUUAGAGACCCCCGUAGUCCCUGUCUCUUAUAC